UGGGGAAUAUUGGACAAUGGGUGCAAGCCUGAUCCAGCAAUGCCGCGUGUGUGAAGAAGGCCUGCGGGUUGUAAAGCACUUUCAGUGGGGAAGAACGGGCCAAGGUUAAUACCCCUGGCUUCUGACGUACCCACAGAUG
rnacentral:rRNA from 1 species